CCUUCUUCUUCUCCUUCUCUUUUUUCUUUGCAGUUUUUUAGAAACAGAGCCUUGCUGUGUAGUUCAGGCUGGCCUUGAACUCAUUAUGCAGCACACCCUGGCCUCAAACACAUAGUGAUCCUCCUGCUUCAGCCUCCUGAGUGCUAGGAUUACAGGCAUGUGCCACCACUGUUGGCUUUCUUUCUUUUAAGUUUUCUCAGAUAUUUUGUCAUUGUGAUGGAGACCUAACACCCACCAUCAUGACCUCAUCCGAUUCUAAUCACCAAGCCCCCACCUCCAGCCAUCAUGAACAUCAUUAAUUUUUUUUUUUUUGGUACCAGGGAUCGAACUCGGGUCCUUGCGCUUGCAAGGCAGGCGACGGAAUCACUGAGCUAAAUCCCUGGCCCAUGAACAUCAUUAAUUUUGAACUCUUGGAAUCCAUGAGCAAAUCUGGAGUAUUGCCAUGGAUGGGCCCGGACUUAGGGAGCCGAUGCUGGAUGCUAAAUCCGAGGUCACCAACCAGAAUUUCUACAGACAGUUCAAGGAAAUUGCUGCUGUUAUUGAAACUGUGUGAAAACUGA
rnacentral:lncRNA from 1 species